rnacentral:rRNA from 1 species
GGUUAAGCGACUAAGCGUACACGGUGGAUGCCCUGGCAGUCAGAGGCGAUGAAGGACGUGCUAAUCUGCGAUAAGCGUCGGUAAGGUGAUAUGAACCGUUAUAACCGGCGAUUUCCGAAUGGGGAAACCCAGUGUGUUUCGACACACUAUCAUUAACUGAAUCCAUAGGUUAAUGAGGCGAACCGGGGGAACUGAAACAUCUAAGUACCCCGAGGAAAAGAAAUCAACCGAGAUUCCCCCAGUAGCGGCGAGCGAACGGGGAGCAGCCCAGAGCCUGAAUCAGUGUGUGUGUUAGUGGAAGCGUCUGGAAAGGCGCGCGAUACAGGGUGACAGCCCCGUACACAAAAAUGCACAUGCUGUGAGCUCGAUGAGUAGGGCGGGACACGUGGUAUCCUGUCUGAAUAUGGGGGGACCAUCCUCCAAGGCUAAAUACUCCUGACUGACCGAUAGUGAACCAGUACCGUGAGGGAAAGGCGAAAAGAACCCCGGCGAGGGGAGUGAAAAAGAACCUGAAACCGUGUACGUACAAGCAGUGGGAGCACGCUUAGGCGUGUGACUGCGUACCUUUUGUAUAAUGGGUCAGCGACUUAUAUUCUGUAGCAAGGUUAACCGAAUAGGGGAGCCGAAGGGAAACCGAGUCUUAACUGGGCGUUAAGUUGCAGGGUAUAGACCCGAAACCCGGUGAUCUAGCCAUGGGCAGGUUGAAGGUUGGGUAACACUAACUGGAGGACCGAACCGACUAAUGUUGAAAAAUUAGCGGAUGACUUGUGGCUGGGGGUGAAAGGCCAAUCAAACCGGGAGAUAGCUGGUUCUCCCCGAAAGCUAUUUAGGUAGCGCCUCGUGAAUUCAUCUCCGGGGGUAGAGCACUGUUUCGGCAAGGGGGUCAUCCCGACUUACCAACCCGAUGCAAACUGCGAAUACCGGAGAAUGUUAUCACGGGAGACACACGGCGGGUGCUAACGUCCGUCGUGAAGAGGGAAACAACCCAGACCGCCAGCUAAGGUCCCAAAGUCAUGGUUAAGUGGGAAACGAUGUGGGAAGGCCCAGACAGCCAGGAUGUUGGCUUAGAAGCAGCCAUCAUUUAAAGAAAGCGUAAUAGCUCACUGGUCGAGUCGGCCUGCGCGGAAGAUGUAACGGGGCUAAACCAUGCACCGAAGCUGCGGCAGCGACACUAUGUGUUGUUGGGUAGGGGAGCGUUCUGUAAGCCUGUGAAGGUGUACUGUGAGGUAUGCUGGAGGUAUCAGAAGUGCGAAUGCUGACAUAAGUAACGAUAAAGCGGGUGAAAAGCCCGCUCGCCGGAAGACCAAGGGUUCCUGUCCAACGUUAAUCGGGGCAGGGUGAGUCGACCCCUAAGGCGAGGCCGAAAGGCGUAGUCGAUGGGAAACAGGUUAAUAUUCCUGUACUUGGUGUUACUGCGAAGGGGGGACGGAGAAGGCUAUGUUGGCCGGGCGACGGUUGUCCCGGUUUAAGCGUGUAGGCUGGUUUUCCAGGCAAAUCCGGAAAAUCAAGGCUGAGGCGUGAUGACGAGGCACUACGGUGCUGAAGCAACAAAUGCCCUGCUUCCAGGAAAAGCCUCUAAGCAUCAGGUAACAUCAAAUCGUACCCCAAACCGACACAGGUGGUCAGGUAGAGAAUACCAAGGCGCUUGAGAGAACUCGGGUGAAGGAACUAGGCAAAAUGGUGCCGUAACUUCGGGAGAAGGCACGCUGAUAUGUAGGUGAAGUCCCUCGCGGAUGGAGCUGAAAUCAGUCGAAGAUACCAGCUGGCUGCAACUGUUUAUUAAAAACACAGCACUGUGCAAACACGAAAGUGGACGUAUACGGUGUGACGCCUGCCCGGUGCCGGAAGGUUAAUUGAUGGGGUCAGCGCAAGCGAAGCUCUUGAUCGAAGCCCCGGUAAACGGCGGCCGUAACUAUAACGGUCCUAAGGUAGCGAAAUUCCUUGUCGGGUAAGUUCCGACCUGCACGAAUGGCGUAAUGAUGGCCAGGCUGUCUCCACCCGAGACUCAGUGAAAUUGAACUCGCUGUGAAGAUGCAGUGUACCCGCGGCAAGACGGAAAGACCCCGUGAACCUUUACUAUAGCUUGACACUGAACAUUGAGCCUUGAUGUGUAGGAUAGGUGGGAGGCUUUGAAGUGUGGACGCCAGUCUGCAUGGAGCCGGCCUUGAAAUACCACCCUUUAAUGUUUGAUGUUCUAACGUGGACCCGUAAUCCGGGUUGCGGACAGUGUCUGGUGGGUAGUUUGACUGGGGCGGUCUCCUCCUAAAGAGUAACGGAGGAGCACGAAGGUUGGCUAAUCCUGGUCGGACAUCAGGAGGUUAGUGCAAUGGCAUAAGCCAGCUUGACUGCGAGCGUGACGGCGCGAGCAGGUGCGAAAGCAGGUCAUAGUGAUCCGGUGGUUCUGAAUGGAAGGGCCAUCGCUCAACGGAUAAAAGGUACUCCGGGGAUAACAGGCUGAUACCGCCCAAGAGUUCAUAUCGACGGCGGUGUUUGGCACCUCGAUGUCGGCUCAUCACAUCCUGGGGCUGAAGUAGGUCCCAAGGGUAUGGCUGUUCGCCAUUUAAAGUGGUACGCGAGCUGGGUUUAGAACGUCGUGAGACAGUUCGGUCCCUAUCUGCCGUGGGCGCUGGAGAACUGAGGGGGGCUGCUCCUAGUACGAGAGGACCGGAGUGGACGCAUCACUGGUGUUCGGGUUGUCAUGCCAAUGGCACUGCCCGGUAGCUAAAUGCGGAAGAGAUAAGUGCUGAAAGCAUCUAAGCACGAAACUUGCCCCGAGAUGAGUUCUCCCUGACUCCUUGAGAGUCCUGAAGGAACGUUGAAGACGACGACGUUGAUAGGCCGGGUGUGUAAGCGCAGCGAUGCGUUGAGCUAACCGGUACUAAUGAACCGUGAGGCUUAACCUUACAACGCCGAAGGUGUUUUG